GACGAACGCUGGCGGCGUGCUUAACACAUGCAAGUCGAACGGAAAGGCCCUGCUUUUGUGGGGUGCUCGAGUGGCGAACGGGUGAGUAACACGUGAGUAACCUGCCCUUGACUUUGGGAUAACUUCAGGAAACUGGGGCUAAUACCGGAUAGGAGCUCCUGCUGCAUGGUGGGGGUUGGAAGGUUUCGGCGGUUGGGGAUGGACUCGCGGCUUAUCAGCUUGUUGGUGGGGUAGUGGCUUACCAAGGCUUUGACGGGUAGCCGGCCUGAGAGGGUGACCGGCCACAUUGGGCCUGAGAUCCGGCCCAGACUCCUACGGUAGGCAGCAGUGGAAAAUAUUGCACAAUGGGCGGAAGCCUGAUGCAGCGACGCCGCGUCCGGGAUGACGUCCUUCGGGUUAUAAACCGCUUUCGCCUGUGACGAAGCGUGUGUGACAGUAAUGGGUAAAGAAGCACCGGCUAACUACGUG
rnacentral:rRNA from 1 species